rnacentral:rRNA from 1 species
GGAAGGAUCAUUAUUGAAUAAACUUGAACAGGCUGUUGCUGGUCUCCCUUGCGAGAGGGGGGCAUGUGCACGCUUGUCAUCUUUAUCUCUCCAACUGUGCACAUAUUGUAGACCUGGAGUUGUCUUUGUUGAUUCAUUCGAGUUGGCACUGCAGUGCUUCUUACAAACAAAAAAAAAAGUCUGCUCUGCCUUUUGCUUUUCCAGGUCUAUGUCAUUUUCACAACCUCAAUGUGUUUAGAAUGUUGAAUCAGGCCCUUUUUGUACCUAUAAAGUUAAAUAUACAACUUUCAGCAACGGAUCUCUUGGCUCUCGCAUCGAUGAAAAACGCACCGAAAUGCGAUAAGUAAUGUGAAUUGCAAAAUUCAGUGAAUCAUCGAAUCUUUGAACGCAUCUUGCGCUCCUUGGUAUUCCGAGGAGCAUGCCUGUUUGAGUGUCAUUUCAAGUUCUCAACCGCAUCAAUUUCUCAUUGAUGUGGCUUGAAUGGGGGGAAUUGCAGGCUUCUGUCAAAGGAGGUCGGCUCCCCUGAAAAACAUUAGUGGUAUCUGAGCAAAAAAAACUACUACAGGUGUGAUAAUUAUCUAUGCCUUUCAGUAUGCUGCAUAAAAACAGACUGCACUGCUUCUAACUAGUGAAAACCUCUCUACAAAGGAGGGGCCACAUUUGACGAAUUUGACCUCAAAUCAGGUAGGACUACCCGCUGAACUUAAGCAUAUCAAUAAGCGGAGGAAAA